rnacentral:rRNA from 1 species
UACAGAGGGGCCGAGCGUUAGGCGGAAUCACUGGGCUUAAAGCGUGUGUAGGCGGACGUCUAAGUACCUUGUGAAAUCCCACGGCUCACCCGUGGAACUGCUGGGUGUACUGGGCGUCUUGAGCCACCUAGGGGCCAGCGGAACAAAUGGUGGAGCGGUGAAAUGCGUAGAUAUCAUUUGGAACGCCAACGGUGAAAACAGCUGGCUGGGGGUGUGCUGACGCUGAGACACGAAAGCCAGGGGAGCGAACGGG